rnacentral:tRNA from 1 species
CAGCUUAUAAAAAGCUCGACUGGAUAGAGCAUUCCGAUUUCAAUCGGAACGGUCACAGGUUCGAAUCCUGUCGCGCUCG